UUGAACGCUGGCGGCAUGCCUUACACAUGCAAGUCGAGCGGCAGCGCGGACUUCGGUCUGGCGGCGAGUGGCGAACGGGUGAGUAAUACAUCGGAACGUACCCUGUUGUGGGGGAUAACUAGUCGAAAGAUUAGCUAAUACCGCAUACGACCUGAGGGUUAAAGUGGGGGACCGCAAGGCCUCACGCAGCAGGAGCGGCCGAUGUCUGAUUAGCUAGUUGGUGGGGUAAAGGCCCACCAAGGCGACGAUCAGUAGCUAGUCUGAGAGGACGAUCAGCCACACUGGGACUGAGACACGGCCCAGACUCCUACGGGAGGCAGCAGUGGGGAAUUUUGGACAAUGGGGGCAACCCUGAUCCAGCAAUGCCGCGUGUGUGAAGAAGGCCUUCGGGUUGUAAAGCACUUUUGUCCGGAAAGAAAUCGCGCUGGUUAAUACCUGGCGUGGAUGACGGUACCGGAAGAAUAAGCACCGGCUAACUACGUG
rnacentral:rRNA from 1 species